GCUUUUUGCAAGAGAGGCGUCUCUGCAGGUGAGACACCGUAAGUCCAAAGGAGGUGAAUAAUGAAGCUUAUUCAUUUCUGAAGAAUGAAAAGGGGAGGUAUUGGGAGAUAAACAGACUAAUUAAUCAGGCACUUCAUGUUAGGCUCAGUUUGCUUUCCAUUGUCUAAUGCAACUCCCACACUCCUGGGCUGCUUUAUCAGUUGAAAUACAGUUUGUUGAAAUAUAGUUUGUGUCUUUUGAAGGAUUGGGAGCUGAAAGACAUCCCUCUUCUAAUCUCGUGGAUGGAACAUAAUAUAUUCCGUCACUUUCUGGGUUUUUUUUUUUCUUUUUUGGUUCAUGGACCAAGCCUCAGAACAAAAUAUAAAUAAUUUCUUCUCUUGCAUCUGACAGGGACUUUCAGAAGGAAAACUUUCUUUCCUUUCUUCCUUCCUUCCUUCCAUCCUUCCUUCCUUCCUUCCUUGACUGAAAUGUAUGAAUUACUUCUGUUCUCACUUUCUCCUUUCAUUUUUUAUUUGAUGGGAUUUAACUACAUCUUUAACUAUGUGGAGCUGAUAUGAGGGAAGUAUUAACUUCUCUAAUAGCAUUUAUUCUGCCAAAGAGAAAAUAUGGGAUGUGCCUAGGUUGAAAAGGUCUCUAUUAUUUACAACUCACUGAAACUCACCCAUUCCAUCAUUAAGCAUUUAUUAACCUGAUAUUACCUUUGUGCCCGGCACUGUGCUAGGCAUUGGGGAAGCAAGGAUGACUGCAUCGUAGCAUCACCCCUGGCCUUCAGGAUCUCAGAGUCAAGUUGCGGGGUAAUUUCAAUAGGACACGAUGUGCACUACAAUGAAGUUAAACAUGGAGUGCAGAAGAGAAUCUAAUUCAAGCGCUGUUGAGGUUGUCACAGAGAAGAUGCAAAUGAGUCUGAGGGGCGUGCAUGUGCCAGAGGGUGGAGUUAUAAGAGACCAUGGAGUCCUUGGAGAACCAGAAAGAUCUCAGUGUGAUGGGAGCAAAGGUCAGAGGCAUACAUGUGGACAGUGAGCUCCCCUCUCCAGCCUGGAGGUAAUGGAGGCCACAGGUGAAUUUUAAAGAUUUUAAAAAGGGGAAUUAUAUGGUCAAAUUCAUACUCAGUGGACUAUGCCUUGAACCAGUGUUCAGUGCACCACUCCAUAUGAGUGACGACAUCAUCUCAUGUAGCUAAAAGCUGGAAGUCUGAUUGGAAACACUACCCCACAGGUCUGGUGAUGGAAACAGGAAGGUACCUCAGGGCUUAUAACCCUGAGAUGAAAAAAUAUCAACGACAUUGCAUAGACCUUAUUGCUCUGCUUUUUCUUGGAAGGCAAACACACAUUAAAAAGACCCUCCUAUGCUGCUCACUGUUACCAACAUUUUCUUUUUUAAUCUUCUAUCUUUCAUCCUAAAUGCUCAUGAAAGACAUGUCGCUUCUGGUCCAAGUACGGGCCAAUGGCAAAGCUUUUCAUGUUUGUUGACCCAAUAAUCAGCCAUUACACUCUCAAGACUUAGAGUGGAUCAGUUUAAAAACAGCUAUUAGUGCAUUUGAACUGCAGCCCCCCACCCCAUAUGCCUGGGCUUGCUGCUUCCACCAAGAAGCUCCCACUUCCAUCCAGGGAGGUAUCAUGUUUCUCAGCCUGUAAACGCUGUUUGUGUCAAGUACGGUUUAAUUUCAAACUCAGUUAUGAUGUUUAGCAUGUAUGGCCAGAGGAGACAAACCCAAAGGCUAGUGGCAAGAUUAGCCCAGUGUUCUGUUUUGAAGAAUGGCACAGGGGUCGUUAUGGGAAAGAGAUGAAGCCCCUUUGUGUGCUUGCCUCAAGAAAUUAGCUUUAAGUACCGUAGUUUUCUCUAAUCAAGGAUUCAUUAUGGAACUGCCAUUUUAUAUUUAAACAUCUUUUGAGCUCUUUAUUUCUGCAGCCUUUGGUACUGGGAUAAAAAGCUCUUAAAUCACCACCCCCCCACCACCACUGCCACUAUUACACUAUAUUAAGUAAUUGCCAUAGAAUGAGUGUCUGUGUCCCUCCACCCCCUCCAUUCAUAUGUUGAAGCCUAAUCCUCAAUGUAAUAGUAUUAGGAGGUGGACCUUUAGAAGGUGAUUAGAUCAUGAGGGUGGAGUCCUCAUGAAUGGGAUUAGUACUCCCAUAAAAGAGACCCCAGAGAGCUCCCCUGUCCUUUACAGCAUGUAAGGACACAGUGGGAAGAUGUCUAUGAAUCAGGAAGAGAGUUCUCACCCAACACCAAAUCUGCCUUGAUCCUGGACUUCCCAGGCUCCACGACUGUGAGAAAUGUACCAUUUUUUUAAUGUUUACUUAGUUUUGAGAAAGAGAGAGAGCGUGUGAGUGAGGGAGGGGCAGAGAGAGAGAGGGAGACACAGAAUCCGAAGCAGGCUCUGGGCUCUGAGCUGUCAGCACAGAGCCCGAUGCAGGGCUGGCACUCACAAACUGUGAGAUCAUGACCUGAGCCGAAGCUGGAUGCUUAACCGACUGAGCCACCCACAUGCCCUAGAAAUGUACGAUUUUUCUUAUUGCUCCCCCAAUGGACUAACACAGAAAUUGCUACUGAGCAGUGGGGUGCUGCUAUAAAUGCAGCUAAAAUGUGGAAGCUUUGGAACCAGGUGAUGGAGAGUAGAAGAGUUUUGGGGUGCAUGCUAGAAAAAGCAAACAUUGCCAAGAAUGUCCCACUGCGGGUGACUGUGGUGAGGGCUCAGAAAGAAAAGGAGAAUUGCAGAGAAGGCCUUGAUCUUCUUAGAGGAUACCUAAGUAAUCAUGGGCAGAAUGUUAGUAGAAAUGUAGUCAGUAAAGGCCAUUCUGAUGAGGUCUCAGAUGGAAAUGAGGAGCAUGUUAUUGGAAACUAGAAGAAAGGCCAUCCUUAUUACCUACUGGCAAAGGACGGGGCUGAAUUGUGUUCUUGUUCUAGUGUUGUGGAACGUACUACUAGUGAGUGAUGGAAUUAAAUAUUUAGAGGAACUGUCUCUAAGCAAAGUGUUGAAGGUGCAGCUUGGCUCCUCCUGACUGCUGAUAGUAAAAGUCAAGAAGAGAGAAAAGAUUUAAAGAUGAGAUGGUUAAACAAAAAGGAAGCAGGACUUAAAGAUUUAGAAAACUCUCAGCCUAUCUAUAUUGCAAAAAGAUGAGAACACUGGAAGUGUGGCCAGGCGACUAUUUGAUAAGGUUAGUAUGGAUCAGCCAUCUCAACAGAAGCCAGGGGUAGUUCUCUAAGACAAUGAAAGGAUGACCCUGAAAGCAAUUCAGAGGUCACUGGGGAUACUACUCCUACCACAGCCUUGAGGGACAGAGUGAUUUCAAAGCGUGGGGCCACAGAGAGCCCCAGACUUGGGCUGUAUCCGGUGGAACCAUGGCAUGGACAAGGCCAUGUGGGGAGAGCUGCUGGGAUCCAGCAGAAAGCCAUGGUGGAUCAUGGCUCGGCAGAGAACUGGGGCGGGAGCAGAGAUGGAGCCCUAGCUGAGAGACACUGAGGGGCUGUCCCACUGAGCCAUGGAGUGAUGUUGGCACCCCAGUGGGCUGAAAAGCAGAGCGCUAAGCUGAAGAUUAUUAUCCUUGAGGCUUGAGGUUUAAUACUGCUUGUCCUAUUAGAGUUUGGGCUUACAAGGUACCUGACACCACUUUCUUCUGUCCUGUUUCUCCGUAGGAAUGGCAGUGUCUAUCCUAUGCCUGCCCUACCACUGUAUUUGCAAAGCAGGAGACUUGUCUGAUUUCACAGACUCACAACUGGAGAGGAAUUUGCCUUAGGAUGAACUUUGAGUCUUACCUGUAUCUGAUUUAGAUGAUAUCUAGACAAUACUUUGGAGUUUAGACUUCUGAAUUGCUGCUGGAAUAAAGUUAAGAUUUUGAGGCUAUUGCAAUCAAUUGAGGUAUUUUAUAUACAAGAGGAUAUAAAUUUCAGGGGGACAGGGGCAGAAUGCUGAAGACUGAAUGUCUGCACCCUCCCCAUUCAUAUAGUGAAAACUCAUCCCCAGUGUGAUGGUAUUUGGAGGUGGAGCCUUUGGAAGGUUGUUAAGUUAUGAGAUGAAGCCCGCAUGAAUGGGAUGAGUGCCCUUGUAAAGGAGACCCCAGAGAGAUUUCUUGUCCCUUCCUUCACGCGAGGACAUAGAAAGAAUAUGUCUAUGAGCCAAAAAGAGGUUCUCACCAGAUACCAAAUCUACCAGUGCUUUAAUCUUGGACUUUCAAACUCCAGGAUUGUGACAAAUAACUUUCUGUUGUUUACAAGCACACAGACUGUGGUAUUUUUUGUUAUAAUAACCUACGUGAACUAGGACAAAAAAACUUCCUUUCACUGUCCUAAAUAUACCUACCUUCCCCUCCAUACCACUUUCUCCUCUGCCAUGUUCAGGCAAACUAGAGACUUGUGAACAAGUCAGUACUCACAACAAUCUAUUCUCUGGGUUAUGCAUCUCUCUCAACUCUGUCUUUCUGAGCAGAGGAAUUCUCAUUGUUUCGUUGUUGUUGUUGCUGUUGUUGUUGUUGUUGUUUUAGCUCUUUUUAUACCCAAAUCCCCAUAUCUCUGAUAUAACUUUGGUGGACUUACUCUUUCAGUUUGAUCCCCAUUGUUCCCCCGUGGGAAUCACCAAAACGGAUGCCACCAGGAGCUCCAGCUUGAGCCCUAAGGAACAUUUAGGAAGACAGGGUUUGGUUUGGCCCACUCUGAUUUAGUUUACUUAGUAUUUUCCCCCAAUAUCAAGAAAUAUAGAUAGAUGUAGCUUACCCAGUGAGGUCGGUGACUUCUGUAGAAAUUUUUACAGUGAGUACACAAUAUUCCAUGUAUGCAAAUUGUAUCAUAAGCUAGCCAUUCAAUGGAUUAUGUAAAAAUAGGCCCUAAAACUCAAUCCCCAAAGCAGGGCUAGAUUAACUAGGAGGGAUUUGCUUGCUUAAGGCACCAGCAGAAUUCAAAACAAAUGGUUUUGAUGGACUUAUCCAGAAUUUUGUAAGCAGGUCAAAAAAAAAAAAAGUUGUGUUUUGUGGUUCAGUAUUGCUUUUGUUUGGGCUUACAUACGGGAGGGGGCACCAUAUUACUUCAGUACUUGGAGACUUGGUCUAAGAACUAAAAGCCUGUAGGAGAACAGGAGACAGGCUCGUCUUUGUCAUAUUCUUUGUCUUUCCCACUGCCCUUUGGUCCUGGUGUUCACAGAACACGUGUCUGAAUGGGAAUGGUUGAGUAUUUGGCUUCUCUUCUCAACAGAAUGCACAUGAUUAAAGUGAGCAAAGGUUACUUUUGCUACCUCUAGCCCAUGACUUCACGUCCUCCAGUUUAUUCUAGAUAUCUCCCUCUUAGUCUGCCGCUCAGUCUCAUGGUGUCCCCUCCUUCAGGUCAGAGCCUUCAGCUGUCUGGGAUCCUGUCAAAACAUCUUGCAGGUCCAUUAGUCAUAUUAAAACUCAGCAUCAGUUCUUUAUACGUUAAAGGUCAUCUCCCUCCCAGGGUAACGUGAUACCAGUAUGGGUCAAAGUCUUAGCUGAAAAAGGAGUGUCUAACUGAAGAAUUGUAGUUAUAAACCGGCAGAGUAGAUAACUGGGUAGGGCAGGCUAUCUCUCAGUGCUUCCAAGCCCCCAUUAUAUGGACCUACCUGCACUGUCCAGUAUAGUAAUCAUUAACUGCAUAGGACAAUUACAAUUUCAUGAGUUAAAAUUAAAUAACAUUUAAAAUUCAAUUCCUCACCCACAUUGGCCACCUUUCAAGUGCUCAAGAACCACACGUGUCUCAUGGUGAGCAUGCUGGACAGCACCAAUGUGAAACAUUUCUCUUAUCCCAAAAGUUCCACUGGAUAGUGCAAGUUUAGACAAUUACUUUCUUGGCCUAUGCAGAGGUGGUCUACUCCCGCCCUAAUGCAGGAUUUCUCGACCUUAGCACUACUGACAUUGUAGAUUGGGUCCUUUUUUGUUGUGGGUGGCCAUCCCUUACAUUGUAGGGUAUUUAGAAACACCUCUGGCCUCCAUCCCCUACAUGCUAGUAGCACCCCUUCUCCCGCUUGUGACCAUCAAAAAUAACUCCAGACAUUGCCAAAUGUCCCCUCCUAGGGGACAAAACUGCUCUCUGUUGAGAAUGACUGCACUAAAGUUGGCUGAUGCUUUGGGGAGCGGGAGACAUCUGUAAGCACUCUUGUGGGCAAGAAGGAAAGUUGUGAGCAGGAAGUUGUGAGCUCUUAGAGGGUGGGGACUCUGCAGGGGGCAGGCUGUGCACAUUUCAAGUGCUCUUGAAACAUUACAGAUGAGGAGAAUGUCAGAGUGACGUUUAUAGCCAAGAAAGAUAUUCUUCCCUGGUCUUGGAAAUUCCCUUGAUGCUAAAUUGUCAUGUGUUUCAAAGCUCUAAAGAACUGCAGGGAAGGCUGUAAAUCCAAAGGAAGGCAGAGAAAAGGCCCAAGAGACAGAUUGUGGGUGAGUUAACUUAUUCCAGCAAAGGUGAAUGGGGUUGCCCCCGGCUUCACUCUGGGAUUUUCAGCCUGGCGUGCUAAGCCCCCUGUUCCCAAAGUGGCCAUUCAUGCACUAAAUGGCCAUUACUGCCUCAUCAGCAGCUUGUCAGCUGUAAAUUCUAAUCCCAGGCCGGGUCUCUCUUCCCAAGACCAAAGUCAUAAAGAUGUUUGCCCUCACGCAGAUCUCUGACAUGCACUAGGCCGCCUGUAUGUGUUUGUCUUUGGGCCCUCUUGAGAGCUUAGCACUUCUCUCUGACCCAUGCUUUACGUGGCACACGUUGCUCCUGACCACGAUGGCAUGCUUGUGCCUCGCCAUGGAAUUCUGAAGCAAGACACUAAGGGUGGAAUCCAAAGACUGGAGGACUUAGAAGUCUCAAGCAAGCAAAUGUUUUUCAUUAUUUAAGAUACUAAGGAAGCCAAAUUCUGAAAUAUUUAUGGCCACAGCCUCCUUUGUGAGUUGUCAAUGACCUCUUUCCUUUUAAGAGGCAUCUUCUGGAGAGGGAGUCCUCGGCCUUCUCCCCCCUGGGGCCACUAACUCACAGCAAAGCUGAAUCCACCGUUCCAUGGGAAGACCGGUGGAAAGUUUGUUUGCUACACACUUCUAGCUGAAAUGAAUGGAACCAAGCUCAGGAGAAGUCCAAGUUUAUCACAGAAGGCAAAGCAGAGACAAAGGACCACUACGUCAGCUGCCUACUUGUGGCUUUAAUGUUGCUCCAAUUGUUUUUCUGUUUUGAGGGACAAUGUCAACCAUCUCAUAAAUAAAUGAAGAUAAUUAUUCAACAGUUCUGUCAACAUGGAAAGAAAAAAAAACACCCCAUAGAAUACUUUUUAUACUUUAUCUUGGGGUGAGGAUGAGUUGCACAGUGUCUUCUUGGGUGACCUAUGCUCUUUGCUUUUAUCCAGGGGCUAUCAAAAUUAACGUGCUCCAUCUGGAACUUCUGCCCAAUGGCCUGACACCAUGGAAGUUUGUCCAGUGUGACUUGAGCCCUCUUCCAUGUCUAAGAAUUCUUUAUAUAGAAGAAUUAAAAGCUGGGGUGCCUGGGUGGCUCAGUUGGUUAUGCCUCUGACUUUGGCUCAGGUCAUGAUCUCUCGGUUUGUGGGUUCGAGCCCCACAUCGGGCUCUGUGCUGACAGCUCAGAGCCUGGGACCUGCUUCAGAUUCUGUGUCUCCCUCUCUCUCUGUGCUCCUCCCCUGCUCAUGCUUUGUCUCUCUCUCUCUGUGUCUCAAAAAUAAAUAAAUGUUAAAAAAAAAUUUUUUUUAAGAAGAAUUAAAAGCCAUUCUGUUAGUUGGUGUUUCCCAGUGGGGAUACUUUCAACACUUUGAGUGGGCUGACUGUUCAUCGCGACAGUGAUCUCAAGGGUUAUAACAGGACAUAUUAGCAUUCCCAGAUUCUGGGCACAAAAUUCUAGGGGUGACUGCCUUCAGUCACUGUCACAACCAGGUGCCUCCUAACACAUUCAUUUCCCAGCACCAGUUAGGGGGUAUCUCUACCACCACUGAGUGCAUUGCAAGAAGUUGGGACCCAGAGAUACUGACACUAAGUGACUUGCUGCAGGUUACACAGCUAGCCAGUGGCCUAGAUUGGUUGUGACCACACCACACCAGGACAGUGUCCAUCUGUGUCUGUUGUCCUAGCACACUUAUCAACAGUAAUCCCUCUCACUCUCAAAGAAGUCCCCGUUUGGAUAAUAAAUGAUGUGGUCAGCCUACCUAAAAGUCAAGUCUCCUAACCAUCAAUUUAUUACUUUUCUGCUACACAACCUUCCUCUUUCUCUCUUUUUUGUGGCUUUCACACACCUUUCCUCCUAUCUGAGUCCGUUUCUUGUGUUCUUGCAAUCUAGUGAUCCUCAAAGUUUGGGUGGCUAUAAAUCACAGUGUUAAGUCCAGACUGCCUGAACUCUGGGGCCUUUCGUUCCUGAGUGGACAAGGAAACAAAUCACCCCAAGAAUAGGAUCAACCAGGCCCAGGCGAGCCCGCAGUCUUGAUAUUGACCAAGCCAUGGACAGCUACCCACAUGCUCCCACAUUCUCAAUGACAAAGGCUGGAGGGGGGCAGGAGCAGGGAAGCUGGUGAAUUUUUUUUGACUUUUGCUUUAAAUGAAUCCACACUGGAUUGAAAAGAAAUACACUGUAGAACACCACCCAUUAGGCUGUGCACGUCCAGCACGUUCAGAUAACUCAAAUAUGGCAUCCGUAUUCUUUGAUAACACUUUGAAAUACCCUAGUGAACAAUAAAAGUUAGGAAGAAUCCAGAAAGUGUUUCUCAUAACAAAAUCAAUCCCUUUUCCUCGUCUGCCCCACGGGGCCAAAAGUACCAGCGUCUUUAAUUGGUAUAUCGGGACCACCCUCAGGAAUUUCUUAUGUGCUGGAAGCACACAAUGCAAUUUUGGUGGGGUCCUGCCGCAAGCUGUGAUCAUGAGCUGAGGGCAGCCUCGUUCUGCAGCUGUGCUUGGUUUACUAUAUUGCUUUUAACUUGCACAGGAGCUAAAAAUACUUGUGCAAAAAAAAAAAAAAAAGGCCUUCUGAUAACAAAGCUCGGUGGACUUGGGCGAAGCUAGAUACGAUGAAAAUUUCUCCAUGCGGAGGUGGGCCGUAAAAAUGGCUUCUUUUUAACGUAAGGAACUUGGCUGUACUGUUUAAUGAAAAGGCUGUUGUACUGACAAGUCUUUCUAAUGAGUACUUUUCCUGACAGCCUUGGAAAUACCUCUUCACGGACUUCAUUCACUCCACGGUGAACAACGCAGUCUCCCGUGCUAGCAAACCUCGGUCUGACUCCAUUGUAUCCCUGAGGAGGCUGUGUGAUCUCAGGCACGUUACUUAACCUUCCUUUGGCCUCAGCUUCCCCAAUUGUGAAAUAAGGAUACCAGCCUCCACCUUACAGAUACUAAUUGUGUUGGUGUGAAAGGCGGAAGACGAUAAUGCGUAUAAAGUACUUAUAAUAGUGCCAGGCUCCUAUUAGCUGCCGUUAUGGUUAUCUAUUCCGACCCUUUUGAGAUCAGUCGCGGGCCAAGUGCUGCACAAGGCCGUGGGACUUCAAAAGUUAAUACGAUAAAGAUUCGGAAUCAAGGUCUUUCUAACUUAAGGGUAGUAAAUAUACACACAAAUACUUACAUCGGGACGUUAAGUGGCACGUAAGGAGAGGCUAUUUGCAUCUGUGGUGAAUUCUCGAAGGUGGAUAAAAAUUCUCCAGGCAGAGAGGGUAAGAAGGCAUUCCAAGAUGGCUCAAGUAACCAUGUACCUAGAGAAAGAAAACGAUGAGAGGAGAAAGAAAACCUAGAGGAGAAAACGAUGAUAACUUUUUGUGAAGUAUAGUCAAUACACAGUGUUACAUUAGUUUCAGGGACACAAUACAACAGUUCUACCCAUUUCUUAGUGCUCAACAUGGUAAGUGUGCUCUGAAUCCCCUUCAUCUGUUUUACCCAUCCUCCCGCCCACCUCCCCUCUGGCAACCACCAGACUGUUCUCUGCAUUUAAGAGCCUGGUUUUUGUUUGUCUCUUUUUUCUUUGGUUGUUUGCUUUGUUUCUUAAAUUCCACAUAUGAGAGAAAUCAUACGGUAUUUGUCUUUUUCCUGACUGGCUUAUUUUGCUUAGCAUUAUACUCUCUAGCUCCAUCCAGGUCAUUGCAAAUGGCAAGAUUUCUUUUCUUUUCUUUCUUUUUUUUGGGGGGGGGGCUGAAUAAUAUUCCAUUGUACGUAUGUAUGGAAUAUGUCUUCCAAGAUGGAUUCCACAUCUUCUUUAUCCAUUCAUCUAUCAGUGAAUUAGUGCUUUCAUUCUCUUUAAGUAAAUACCCAAGACUGGAAUUAUUGGAUGCUAUGGUAGUUCUAUUUUUAGUUUUUUGAGGAAACCCCAUACUCUUUUCCGCAGCGGCUGCACCAGUUUGCACGAGGGUUCCUUUUGCUCCACAUCCUCAACAACACCUGUUGUUUUGUGUGUUGUUGAGUGUAGCCAUUCUGACAGGUGUGAGGUGAUAUCUCAUUGUGACUUGAAUUUGCAUUUCCCUGGCGAUGAGUGACGUUGAGCAUCUUUGCAUGUGUCCGUUGGCCACGUGUAUGUCUUCUUCAGAAAAACAUCUGUUCAGGUCCUUUCCCCAUGUUUCGGGGUUGUGGAGCUGUAAAAGUCCUUUAUAUAUUUUGGAUAAUAACCCCUUAUCAGAUAUAUCAUCUGCAAAUAUCGUUCAUUCUGUAGAUUGCUUGAUGGUUUCUUUCACUGUACAAAAGCUGUUUACUUGGAUGUAGCCCCAAUAGUUGAGUUUUGCUUUCAUUUCCCUUGCCAAAGAAGACAUAUCUAGAAAAAAUGUUUCUAUGGCUGAUGUCAAAGAAAUUACUGCCUCUGUUUUCUUCUAGGAAUUUUAUGAUGUCAGGUCUCACCUUUAGGUCUUUAAUCCAUGUGCAGUUUAUUUUCGUGUAUGGUGCAAGAAAGUGGUCCAAUUUCAUUCUUUUGCACAUCACCGUCCAGUUUUCCCAGCACCGUUUGUUAAAGAGACUGUUUUUUUUCCACUGGUAAACUUUUGUUUUAGUUUCAGCCUGAUUUUCACAGUGUGGAUUAUGACUAAUUUAAAAAGGUAGGACAAAGCCUGUUGUUUGUAAGUUUUGCUCCCCUGUCUCCCAGCAAACACGAUGAGCUGGAGACGUUGUGGCACCGAGAAGAUCAUUAGGUCAAAAGAGCACAUCCCCCUGAGGUCCGAGCCAUUCAGUCUUCUCUCAUCUGGGUCUCAGCCCAGAUCUGCCCGGAACGUUGCUUGGUGGCAGAGUAGUCCGUGAUGGGCCAGCUCUCCAAAGUGCCUUCCAAAUGCCCUCUGACCGGCACAGAAAGAUUUUUUUUGUGUCAAACGUUUCAGUGUAAACCUCAGAAACCAACAUAUACAGCGGGCUCCUUUGGCCAUGUCCGUAGUGUUGUUUUCUACCCCACCACCUGAUCAGAGGCACGUGAUCGUUGAUACCUUACCGAACCCGUGGCCUUGGCAGAGAGAAUCAUAGAACUGGGAAGGUUAGGUGAGCUUGCCCACAGCGUACUCAAAUGUUUCAGCUGGAGAGGUCCUGGGUUUCAGGUGACGUAGAGAUGCUGUUUUCGGUUGAAUGAAAGUGACCGUUUCAGAGAUCUUCCCAGGAAAAACUGGCCAGGCAGUGGGACCAUGAAGGUAAGGAGCAGGCAAAGGGGUACUACCAAGGGAAGUCACAGAGCGGCUGGCUUGGUAACCCCCAGGGGAGCCUGGAUUCAGUGUCCUGGAGGGGUUCACCGGAGCUGCCGUAUUUAUACCUCUGAAUCUCUCAGCCAUUGGGUCAGCACUGCUCCCAGGGAACAUCCUGCCUGCUGUCCGCGCACACAGGCCAAUGGAUUCCUACAGCCUUAGCACAGUCCGCCCACGAAGAGACACUGGCUCUGGCCGUAGAAAAUAAAAGCACACAGGCAGAGCUCAGUGCAAAAUGGAAAUGUAGGCACCCAUUUUUUUUAAAGCAAGAAAAAGAUGCCAUUAGAGGUACUGAAAUAAAAGCGUUCCCCUUUCAUCCACAGUCUCUCUUUUCACUUGUCACAGCUUGUUUUUUUUUUUUUUUAAUUUGCUAUUUCAUGCCGCUCUAAGAAGAGGGACAUUUAAAUUUUAAAUUAUUAGCGUGAAUUUUACCUUUCAUCUCUACAUUGUGUGAUGCCGGUUGUAAAUGCAAAUACAAGAGCGUUUAACUCAUGCUCAUCGCCAAAAUUACCCAAUUUGCAUAUUUUGUUCUCACCGUCAGGGUGGAAAAGCUGCGCAAAACUAACUCAGCUGCUUGUAUGUCAUUUCUUGAUCACGCCCAUUGUACUAACAGUCGCCACCUUUGGCUUAGAAGGUAAAGAAGGAUAGGAAGGAAAGGAGCUCAGGGCUAGCUAGUACAGGGACGUAAUGUCAGUACGAAUGGACGAAGGGUAUUUUGGUCAUUGGUAUGUCUUAGCAUGUCAUUCCUUUCUUUCUGUGUUUGAAGCAAGUUUUGGUUCGGAAGGAAAGUGUGGCCUCUGGGGGCUGCCAGUGUCCCACCCUCUCCCAGCUUAACCAGUGGAAGACCACCAGUGGUGUUCCUUUUGAAUCGCCAAGAACUGCCACACAUGUGGGUCCACUGGAAUCCCGGUUCCCGGCGAACACGCUACAAGCACGGAGUCAUGAGAAAAGGCAGACACUCAUAUUGUAUGCAUCUCUUGUGUUCUUGUGCGUGCUCUGUUGUCCCAUCAGAGUUCACUUACAACAUACAAGUUCAAAGAAAAACACUAUUAAGAAUUUUAAUAUGGUGGCAACAGAGCCUUUAAACCCAGCCUGGGGUCCUUCUGAGAAGGGUCACACAUACCAUGACGGUGACCUGGCAAGCAGGAAGACAGCAUGUACGAAAAUGCUAAAGAGACCCCAGGGCACGUGGGUGGAGCCCAGAGAAAGAAAACUAGGAGGCUGGGCCUGCACCCAGGGGAGUUAGUGCAGGAGGAGUCCAGAACAACCAAAGAGACUGAUUCUCAGAGGUUACAGCCCUAGAGCACAAGGCAUGUCAGGAAAGAGGAGACAAGAAGAGACAGGGGAUCAAGUAGAGGGAACAAAGUCGGAGCUCUGGUUAGCCAAGACACAAGUCACAAAACUGGAGGCACUGGGAGAAGUCCAUGAAACAAAGCCAAGGAUCACACAGAGGGGCAAGAUACCAGCAAAGGUUAUCAUAAACCAAUGGCCAUUUGGAUCUGAUCGCAUCCCAGAAUGCUGAGCGCCCCAAUGGCAUCCCUGUAAGUGUGGAAGGUACUUGUCAUGGGCCUGCGAGGGGCAACCUCCCUCCCAGAUCCUUCCCACCGUUCCAACCUCCUGGUAGAAAAUGAGACAAUCACUCUCCCGCUCCUGCAGAGAGCAAUUCCUUCCCCUUCUCCAAAGCUCUAGGAAUGCUUGUCCCCAUGGCUUCAUUGUGGAAACGAGCUGGAAACUGGCCCCGUGGAACGUGUGACAUGGAACGCGGUCAUGGUGACCCGUCAGUUCGCAGGCCACUGGGUCCCGUGGUUCAUCCAUAAGACUUUGCAAUAACAGCAGCUGGAGACUGUCACUUGGGCGGUGUGUAAGCCACCUGCAGGCCUCCUUCUGUCAUUCAUGACUCAGUCAUCUGUGUUAACUCACAGCAGGGUUUCUAGACGUUGGCAAUAUUCACAUUUUGAGCCAGAUGCCCUGUGUGAGCAACUGUCCUAUGCACCAUUAGACGGUUAGCAGCACACCUGACCUCUGCCCAGUGGAUACCAGUAGUGUCUCCCAGUUGUGACAAUCAAAAAUGUCUCCAGACGUUGCCCCGUGUCCCCUAGGGCGCAUAAUCGCCCUCAGUGAGUCAGUGACUUAGAGUAUGUGGCCCCUGCUGAGGAACACACCUACAAAGACAUCACUUUCACUAUGUGCUCUUAGCUGACUUACUCCACCCUUUUUUUUAUAAUGCUUAUUUAUUUUUGAAAGAGAGAGAGAGAGAGUGUGUGUGAGCAGGGGAAGGGCGGGGAAGGAGAUACAGAAUCUGAAAUAGGCUCCCUGCUCUAACAGCACAGAGCCCAAGGUGGGGCUCGAACCGACAAACCAUGAGAUCAUGGUCUGAGCAGAAGUCAGACGCUUAACCGACGGAGCCACCCGGGUGCUCCUGACUUAUCCCACUUGUCUGUUAACUUGCAUCUUUUUUUUCUGAAAGCGUCUCUUUAGGGUCUCAUCUUCCUGAGAGCACAAUAUCCCCCCCUCUUGGCUAUGCUAAUAGGGCCUUAGCUGGUAGUAAAGCCACGUAAUGGAUAAGUCUUCUUGUUCUUGUCCAUCCAAAAGGAGUUACAUGAGCCGUUGCAAACUGCUGCAAAACAUGCAUCUCAAGGUUUGCAAAGCUCACCGGAAGCUCACCAUCCCUUUUUUUUCUCUCUCUUAGGGCAUAGUGUACGAAUACCUGGCAAGACCUCUGUUUGCUAGCCUUGUCAUAUGUCUUAUCUCAUUUAAUCCUCAAGGAAAAAGUAUAGAUAACUCCUAUAAAAUGCCAUAUCCAUCUUUACAGAUGGGAAAAUGAGGCUGGCAGUUACGAAGUAACUUGCCCAACAUCACCCCAGUCACCCCAGUAGUAAAUGGAUUUGAACUCCAGUUUUUUUGGCUGCUAAUCUAAGACCUUCUCACUUCUACCAAUGCUUUUCAACUUUACUGCACAUGGGAAUCACCGGGAAUGGGCAGGGGAGGGGUGUGGAGAUCAUGAACAAUGCAGAUUCCCAGGCCUUCUCCCACAGAGACUCAGAAGAUAGUUUUAGGACAGGUCCCAAGAAUCAAGAUUUUAAUGUUUAUUUAUUUAUUUGCGAGACAGAGAGAGAAAGAGAGCUUGCAUGAGCAGGGAAGGUGGGGAGAGAAUCCCAAGGAGGCGCCAUGCUGUCAGCACAGACCCCAACGUGAGGCUCCAACUCAUGAACCAUGAGGUAUGACCUGAGUUGAGAUCAAGAGUGGGCCGCUGAACCAACUGAGCCAGCCAGGUACCCCUCCCCGCCAAGAACCAGGACUUUAAACAAGUGCUCCCAGUGAUUCUAAUGCAGAUGGUCUAAAUCCAUGGCCUUCCCUGGAAUCAGUGCCUACCCUGGUUAGAUCAUGAAAAGUCUGGAUCAGCUCGGAAGUUGGAUGUCUGCAUACGUUAGCUUUCAAAUAGUCUGGAAAACAAGGGUUACAAGACAUCUCAGUAUGAUGUGUUUCCAGGAAAAAAAAAAAUGUUAGCAAGCCAUAAGAAGAAGAAUAUUUGGAGGGCUCAGUUCCCAUUAGAAUUCAGCAAAUGCCCCAGAGGAUCUCCCAAGGUUCAGAUCUAGUUUAAGGGGGGAAAAAACGGCAGAGGCAGGUUAGACUUGCAGACUUGAGUUUCUGACAUGAGAUCAUGAGCCAAAUCAAGAGUCGGACACUGACUGAGCCUCCCAGGAUCCCCACAAUUUGAGGUUUCUACACCUUAGUGUGAGUUUUGAGUCACAGUUUUCUAUCUGCCUCAGACACGGUAACAUUUUAGGCCUAUUCUCCAUUGCUGAAUAUUGAGGAAUAGUGGACUUUAUCACAGGGAAGGAAUUUCCAGUCUCAUUCUUAUAAUAUUGCACAGGAUAGUGGGGAAGGAAGGGAGGUGGUCAUUGUAAGGACAAGAAUAGAUCUCACGGUACCAGAAGCAGAAAUGCGGUUAUGCUCCCAAGUUCCCAUGUGGAGAGGGGCUGUGUGAGUGACUCAGUGCGUGUGCGUGUGUGUGUGUUUGUGUAUGAAGGACUUUUGAGUCUAAACUUGGGUCAGGCAUUCAUCCCAGGUCCAGGCAGCUGUGAACAGUAAUGUGCAACCAUGUUGCCCAAACAGAAAUCCGGAACCGACCUCUCUGAGUGAACAGGACAACAAAGGGCGUCUAUUUGAGCUGGGGAGAUGUUUCAAAUGGCGUGUGCGACAACCCCAAAACAAAAUGGCUUAUCAUCAUUACUUUAUUUAAAAAAAAAAUUUUAUAUUCACUUAUUUUAGAGAGAGAGACAAAGUGUGAGUGGGGAGGGGCAGAGAGAGAGGGAGACACAGAAUCCGAAGCAGGCUCCAGGCUCCGAGCUGUCAGCACAGAGCCCGACGCGGGGCUCAAACCCACGAACUUCGAGAUCGUGACCUGAGCCGAAGUCGGACACUCAACCGACUGAGCCACCCAGGUGCCCCAACCACCGUUACUUUAAUACCAAAAAAGAUCAUAAAAAUAGAGCAGAAACCAAAUAAAUUCUCUGUGCCCAAUAAACCUCUCAUUGAAAUCACCUCCCUGGCUUCUGAGGUUAUCCCAUCGCUGUGUCAGAAAUAAAACAGGGUGAGCUGGGCAAAUUUUCACCUCUGCCUCAGGUUCUCUUCAGCAGGUAGUUUCCUAAAAACUGGCGUGUCAAAGAAGAUCUGUAGAGUAAAGCAAACAGAAAAAGUUUUUUACAUUUUUUGAAACAAAAGUGUCUCUUUCAUGAGUAUCGGAAAAAAAAAAAAAAGAACCCAACAGAUUUCAGGGCUCGCCUAUAGGGCAUAUUUCAAAGUGAUGUGUAAUGUCACUUUAGGAAAGUGAGCUGUUUCUUUUUCAACCUAAAGAUAAAAUGACCAGGGAGAAGGCAGCCAAGACUCUGAGUAAUCUUAUUGAGGGUUCCAUUUUCUGAGUAUGAACUUAUGCUAGCAACAGCUCCUUAGUAACAUGAAAACAAGCCAAGCUAGGCAGUCCCGCAUUUAUGAGACAUAACCUCCAAGGCAGCAAAGUCUGAAGGCUAAUUCUGGUUACAUAACGUUCAUGAGUCACCGAUGCCAUCAGAUAUUACAGACAACUAGACAGUCACCCGCCCUCUCCCUGCAUUUUCAGAGCACGUAGGCUCCCAUGGACCUCAUUCAUCCAACACUUGCCUUUCGCUCUCCCUUCUUGCCUUAUUUCCUAUCUUGUUCCUUUUCUUUUCUUCUCCACUCUGUGCUAUAUUAGUCAGGGUCCUCCACAGACACAGCAGUAGUAGCAUGGAUAUAUAGCUAUAGAUAUUAUGAUUUAGUGUAAGGAAGUGAAUCAUAUAAAUAUGAAGAUGAACAAAUCCAAAGGUCUGCAGUCCGUUCAAAAGUCAGCUGUAUAUAUAACUGCUUAUGGGUUUUCUCCCCACAUGACCUUCCCCACAUGACCCUGGAACCUAACAUGUCGUGUUAAGUUCAUCAUUUGCUCCCCGACUUAAUUCUGAAUUUUCUUUCUCAGGAUGAUGCUAUCAUCCACCCAAUCUCCUCCACUUCUAUCUGGGAGACAAUUAUUACAAACACUCCCUCCAACCUCACCUUCGAAUUCCAAUCGGGUAUUACACUUUAUCCCCCGACUGCCUAAAUAGCUACUUGCUCGUCAUUGUUUCUGUCUUGAGCUUAAUGGGGACCCUCUGGUUUUGCAUCCGGAUUUUAGCAAAGCUCUGUGAUGGAUUUCUCGCCACCUCCACACCAGCCGCCUUUCCAAUUCAUCCACUGGAUUCAGUGUGAUUUUUACGACAAAGAAAUGUGAUCGCAUUACUUCCCAGUCAAAAGCUUUCAAAGUCUUCCCCUUUGCCUUGAGGAUAAAGUGGCAAGAAAAUUUCAGUGGUCCAGCAGCAAGAGUUAAGACAGUGGGAGCUGGCAUGGCAGGUUGGGGAGCGGGGGGCAUGGAGAAGGAGACCUUAAGGAGAUAGAAAGGGCAAGACCCCAUUGCUGAGGCGAUGUGGGCAGUGACCAUAAAGAAAGCACUGACGAAAACCUCUCUGCUUCUGACUUGGAUGACUGAAUAAAUCACGGUCCCGUUCUCCGAGACUGGGGACAGACACUGUUCUCUCUUCGUGGCCAGUUGCGUUACCUGGGUGGGGCGCCAAUGUCUGGGGAACCAAGCCUUCAGGAAACCUGAAAGUUUGGGUGGAGAUGAGUCAGAGCCUAGUAAAGAAAAAGAAAUAAAAAUUAAUACCAGAUGGGGAAAGAAGGCAGUUGAAAGUCCCUGUAAACAGCAUCCAAGAACUCCACAGGAGUGGAAGGUGCAGCAAUGUCCUCUCUUCUGCUAAGAGAUUCCUGAAAAUUUGCUGGCAGAGACCAGGAAAAGAAUCAGGGCCGUGAGCUCAGCAAGACAUUACCUAAGCGCAGAAGGGUUUAAAGGACCUCAUAACUCCGACUUCCACCCUCGUUUAUUUCACGAUCAUUGCCAUGCCCUCUUUCUUGGUCAGGGUUUUGGCCGCAGUUUGGAGUAUCUUGAUGUUUGUAAAAAAUCUUAAAACACGUGUUACUUCAUUGCUAUGCCCCCAGGGCGCACACGCGGAUGUGCCCUUGGAUGAACCCACAGCCCUGUUCGUCCCACUGUUUACUGAGUCUUACCCAUUUGCAACAAAGGGAAGGCUUGUUUCGUAGAUCUCGAGAACACACCUGGGAAUUUCCAACUCACUUAAAAGCCAGUCCCUUGCAGGGAUCAUUCUGAAAGAACCGAGGUCACUUGAAAGGCUAUACCCCAACAUGUAAAUGGCUGCAACUGGGCCAAACCACCCAGUUUGAAUGUUUAGCCAAAUUCCAGUGUGUCCGACGCAUUGGGGUAUUAAAUCCCCGACAAAUUCCUCUUUGGCAUGGCCUGACGAGAUCACGGGUAUUUAUUUACUGUUUUGACACAAAUGGAAAAAAUAUAUACCAUAACUAAAAAGAAGUUUCUUAGGGAACCUGGUUAGAAUCCUGAAUGAGGCCCAAGGGCAAGCUGAGGCACACAAUCUUUCUGCCAAAGCACAGCAAAGAAUCUGACUUUUUCUCUGCAAGCAGGUGGCUGAUGGACUGUUUUAUGAAGGGUUUUAAUUAACUCUUUCUGUCUUAGUUACCUACCCAAAUAAACUAUGUGAAUCCCAAUAUGGUAGAAGGCCUCCAUCAGCUGGCAAGCAACAUCUCAGAAAGCCUCCACAGCCCAGGGACAUAAAACUCCCAAGGAAGACAACUUAGUAAGUGCGUAGUUUCCAGAGGCCUCUAUUUCAGGUGCUGUCAGCAGCCAGACAGUGGAAAGCCAGUGUGCUCCGCUGAGUGCAUCGUCCCAGUUCCAGAAUCGCGUUCACGCGGAAAUGUAAGGGGCACCCGGCUGGUUUUAGCCCCUGCUCUGUUCCUCUUUCCCCAGGUCUCCUCCUCUGGGGGAGCAUUGCCCAGUCUCCUGAUGAGGGUCUUUCUGACACGUUUGCCCUUAAGCCUGACCUCAGGAUACUCCCCAGGUGGCGAAGGCGUAACAUCUUUGAUGUUCACAACUGAGAAAUGCUUAGCUUCUGUGCCUUUUAAUUACGUAGUGCUGCAAUUUCACUGGCACCUCCAAGGCCUUAUCUAAAAGGCACAGCAAAGUAGAAACAUCACCAAGGGUGACAGGGUCAGAGAUAGACUGAGACAUAGAGACGGAGAGAGAAAGAUACUGUUUAUGGUCAAUAACGCCUUUCCUGGUGUCCGACCAAUUACAUAUCCAGGUGAUAACCUAUAUGACAUAUGCAAUUGAGGACACACGCUUUUCUGGCUUUUCAUCUUGCACAUGAGGAAACAGGCAGAGAAAUGGCUGAGUUGCCCAAAGUCACACACAAUGGGGACUAGGGCCCAGGUCUCCUGACUUCCAGGGCACUCCCUACCACGAACAUCGCCAGCUGUAUAUGGCGGCAUGGGAGAUAGAGAAGGUUGGAGAACCUGGUUUAUGCUAGUAGCUCCCCAGGUCCUUUCCCCUCAAGGAUUCCAUUUCAGGUCCUUCAAUAUAAGGUUCAGAUACCACAUAGAGAAACAUCCAAGGAUAAAUAAGAAAAAUGUAGACUCGGGGGUCCACUGGCUUCCAUAUAGGAAAUGAAACUAUUGGCCAGGAAAAGAGGAACUUAAGACAGACUGGUCUGAGGAAGUCACAGGACUGCCUUCCUCCACUGUGCUUACCCCAUCCCGCAGGUACCUGUCCUACAAGCAGAAACCCUGCCAUUUUUUAAAUUUUUUUUUUCAACGUUUAUUUAUUUUUGGGACAGAGAGAGACAGAGCAUGAACGGGGGAGGGGCAGAGAGAGAGGGAGACACAGAAUCGGAAACAGGCUCCAGGCUCCGAGCCAUCAGCCCAGAGCCCGACGCGGGGCUCGAACUCACGGACCGCGAGAUCGUGACCUGGCUGAAGUCGGACGCUCAACCGACUGCGCCACCCAGGCGCCCCAGAAACCCUGCCAUUUUACCCAGGCCUAGGUCAAGAGCACUGCCCCCUCUUAAUGUCUUGGUGGAUUCCACCUCACCCCCUCCUUCCUUUAGAAAGAAGUUCUGUUUUUUGUUGUUGUUGUUGUUUUUUAUCACCAAGACUUCUCACAGAGCUUCAGGGAGUUUACUUCAGCAUAUGGCCUCAGUCAACAAAUACUUACUGAGCACCUACUGUGCACCAGAUAUCGAACUAGGUCCUGGGGAAACAAAGAUGGGGCAGCCACAGUUAUUACCCUCAAGAACUCAUUAGCUGCACAACCUGUUCGUGCACAGGCUCUUGUUCGCACACAGGGCUCAGUCCCAGGUGGACAGUGAGCAUAUUUUUAACCCCCAAAUUCCAACACAUGGUGCUCAAAAUAAGAUGGCUUUUCUAUUUUUUUUUUUUUUUUGAGAGAGAGAGCGAGAAUGGGGGGAAGGGCAGAGAGGGAGAGAGGGAGAAUUCCAAAUAGGCUCCACGCUGACAGUGCAGAGCCUGAUAUGGGCUCAAACUCAUGGACUGUGAGAUCAUGACCUGAGCCGAAGUCAGACACUCAACCUACUAAGCCCCCCAGCUGGCCCAAGAUCGCUUUUCUAAUGUGUAAAGUUUUAGAUGAAACUCUUUAAAAGGCAUAGAAAUUAAAUUGCAUUAGUAAGUCUUUUAUCAAGUCUCUUUUACUGACAAGAAAUAGAUUUCAUUAAAUCAGGCCUUUUUGAGAAAAAUCUGUGCAAUACGUUCGUCAAACCCAUAAGCUUUGACUUGCAAAAUCUUAUAAUAAUAGUCUAUUGUGGUGAGAAAGGAUCUGAGAUAUCACCUGAGCCAGCAGAUUUAAAUUUUGUAUUUCAUUUUUUAAACAGCAAAGUGUUUUUUUAAGCCAAAUAUCACCAAGAGCCCCAAAUUGAAACCAGUUAAAACUGGAAUGGCUGUGGCCAAAGGAGAAGUGCAGAGCUCAGAACCCUUGCUUCUGAUCUCCCCCUCUCAUGUGCCACCUCUGCUCCCACAGAUUUUGGAACUGCACACCACAGAAAUGACAAUCUACCAACUCCUCUUGUCCCGGAUGAGGAAAGUGAGAUCCAGAAAGAGCAUGGCUUCAUUUUAACUGAUUGCAUCUUCAAUGACCCCAUUUCCAAAUAAGGUCACAUUCUGAAAUACUGGGAACUAGUUCCACCACAUAUGAAUUUGGAAGGUAGGGGAGGGGGACACAAUCCAAUCCGUAGCAUUGCUUCUUGCCCUGUUUGGAUGUUCUUGGCCAAACAAGGAAGUCUCUGAUACCUGGUCCUUAAGGGAAAGACGUGAGCAUAUUUGACAACUACUGGGAAGAAGUCAGGAAAGAGAGAUGUCAGGCACAUAGAGAUAUGUCCCUGAGUGGGCAUUGAGGCCAGAUGGAGAGAUACGUUUUGGCACAAGAGGAGAGACACUUCCUUUAUUGUCACAAGGAGGCGGGCGGGAGAAAGGGAUGAGUUUGGAUACAAAAUGAAUCAGCAGAUGAGGAGGAGAGAAGUCGAGGGAGUUCACCUGAGGUGGUUCUAGCUUUCUUCAUGAAGCAGGAGAAGACACUGCCUGCUGGGGCUGACAAUGGACGUGGGAACUACAGCUCAGUAGGAACGAGGGUUCAGCAGAGGGACUGGCACUGAAACCGGGGACUUGAGGAGAGUGGAGAAAAGUUUGAAAUAGUCCUGUGCAUAAUGGACCAGAGCCAGCUGUGUCUAGAGUAUGCACCCACUGCAUCAUUACAGGAAGGGAUCUAUUACUAGAAUAGAAAGGUGGGGAAAUGAGAGGGUGAGCAAACCAGGGGGAACAGAAAGGGGCUGCCUGACAGUAACAAGGGCCCAGAUGGCAUGGGUGACCAAAGUUUAUAGUGGCACCAUCUGCAGGGUGUGUGGUUUUUUUCAGCAAUGCUCAACAGCUGGGCGAUUGAUGUAGAGAAAGUAAACAGUUGAGUACAUCCAGAGCUGGGCUUUGUCCAGGAGGGUGCAUUACAAGGACAAAGGGGCAAGGAGGUUGAGGAUAUGAGCAAGGGGAAGGUGACUUGAGAAAGCUCAGGGACGCGAGUAGGUGAAGAAGAAAGUGUGCAGUGAGGAGGCUCUGCUCAUUUCUGCACAAGAGGCUGGUGUUUGUCCCUUGCUUUCUGUUGACCAGAGCACAUGGUUAUUGCUGCCUCCUGGAGGAACAGAUGUUGCCAGAUGUGACAUGCUAACGAGCCACAAGCUGAUGGGCUCCCCCAGCUAAACUUCCUCCUCUAGGGUGGUCCUAACUGGCCCCAGCUGGGUCAUUUGUGCCCAGUGCUGCCACAACUGUCAGAGCAUGCUCUGGGGACAUGUGUGCCUCUAUGGAAGGAAGAGGUCAAUACCAACUGCAUAUCUAGUGUAUUGGUUCAGCCCCUGGGUCAGUCUGCUAAUCAGUGCUAUUUUAAAGUGGGCCAUCCCUAUUGGUUUGGGUUUCAUUGCUGUGAAUCUUCCAAGGGCACAGAUCUUCUCUUAGCUGCCAUAGUUCAAAUAAAAACUGUGGCUAUUACUGCACAUAUCAUUGGUAUUAUUAUAUACCUCUACUGAUGUUAUUAGCACUCAAUUUGAAACCCUAAGCUCCUAGAAUCACUUCAGUAUUUUCAGAAACAAAUCACUGGGGAGAAAAAGAAAAAGAAACUUUUGAGUAGGACACUGAAAUAUUCCUAGUACGGCAAGGUUAAAGCUAAAAAGAAAUGCCAAACAUUGUCAGGAGCAGUGGGGUCCCCCAUACCCCACUGGUGAGAAUAUAAAUUAGUACAACCGCUUCUAUUUUCCAGUAAAUAAAAUAAACGCCUAUCUAUCAUCCAGAAAAUUCCAUUCUUAGGUAUAUGGACAACAGAAAUAGAUAAAGGUCUACCUAGCAGUAUUAUCCACAAUGGCCUCAUACUGGAGAUGACUCAAUUGUCCCUCCACAUUAAAAUGGAUAGGUAUCUAUAUAUCUAUACACUGGAAUACUAUAUGGCAAUGAAAAUUAUGAACUACAGCUGUUGGCAACAACAUGGACGAAUGCCAUGAACAUAACGCUGAGCGGAUGCAGUUAACAUAAAAGAAUACAGGGGCGCCUGGGUGGCGCAGUCGGUUAAGCGUCCGACUUCAGCCAGGUCACGAUCUCGCGGUCCGUGAGUUCGAGCCCCGCGUCAGGCUCUGGGCUGAUGGCUCGGAGCCUGGAGCCUGUUUCCGAUUCUGUGUCUCCCUCUCUCUCUGCCCCUCCCCCGUUCAUGUUCUGUCUCUCUCUGUCCCAAAAAUAAAUAAACGUUGAAAAAAAAAUUAAAAAAAAAAAAGAAUACAUACUGCAUGAUCUAUUUUUUCGGAGCUCAAAUAUAGGCAAAAGUGACUCUAGUGUAUAGGAAUGCCAAUUUAAGGGGUAAAGUCUAAAGAAAGGCAAGGAGGGGAUUACCAUGAUAGGAUAGUUACCUUUAAGCAGGAUCUCCUCUAACAUUUGUGGGGCUUAAAUAGAGAACUGCAGACCAUCGUCCUAGGCCUAAAUAUUUUAAAGUCAGUUAAACUAACACUAUAUGAAAUAAAAGCUGCUUUAUCCUCCACCUCGACAAAUAACAUCUUCAUGGCAAUCUGGAAGACCAGGCUGGACCCUAGGAUUCUUGGGCUGCUUAGAGCUUGUCACUGGAACGUGUGGCACAAGAAGAGGUGGCCCUCGGACUCCCAGGCCGUCCGUCUCCUUCCAUGUCUGCUCCAUCCCAUACCUCAAGGGCCCCUGUGUCCAUGUAUGUUCAUCUGCAGCCUCCCGCACAUAUUUGCCCCUAGGCCACCCCUUGGGAAGAUGGGCCUGAGGAAGAGGCCAGAAAGUGGACUCAGAAUCAUUUGGACAGGGAAUCCCAAUGUCCCAGUACUUGGUGGCUGGUCUAGAAAGGGAGACAUAGGUUCCAGGUGGACACGGCCUCUUGACCUCAAAGAUUCCUCUCUCCUUGGAAAGCAAUAUUUCUGGAGGAAAUCUAGAAGCCUAAAAGCACAAGGCUCAACAUAGGGUCCACGGGAUGGAGUUUAGGGUAGUAUUGCCUCUAAAGAAAGGGGUCGUAUUGGGAAGAGGACCUGAAAAAUUUCUGGGGUCCUGGCAGUAUGCUGUGCCUUAACCUGGAAGGCAAUUUGUGACAAUUUAUUAAGCUCUACAUUUGUUUUAUAUAGUUUUCUGUAUGUGUGUUAUAUUUCACAAUAAAGAAUUAAUGAAAUCUGUCUACUAUCUAUCUAUCUAUCUAUCUAUCAUCUAUCUAUCACCUAUCUGUCUAUAUAUCUAUCUAUCAUCUAUCUAUCUGUCUGUCUAUCUAUCUAUCUAUUCACCUAUUGCUUCUGGUACUGUCAUUUAUGAGAUCCCUCUGUAUCAGCUCUGAAUGCUUGCCUUUAAGCUCAGACACCUUGUACAGUUAAAAUGCCUCAAGGCAGGAAUACCUCGGGGAGAAAUGGAGACAAUUCUGGAAACAUAGUAACUCUCACUGCUGGUUUUCUCCACCAUCUGGGGCCCAGAUACUUCGGUGACCAUGGAUGGGCUCGGCAGUGCACGUGAGUCAUGGGGCCAUGUCCUCUUGCCUAGCCACUGCAGAGCGCCUCAGAGGAAAAUUCUCUUUUCCCCAUCUUAACCAAGAUUUUAAAUACUGUGUUUAUCAAACCGAAAUUACAGGAAGCUAUUCCCAUCCUAGCAGAAGUGAAAAGAGACCAACUCCCAAUUAUCCUCUGUUUGGAAAGCAGUUCUAAGAAGCCUUCCCUUCCCCAUAAGGGCAGCUGGAUAAAUUCAUUAGUUUGCUAAGCUUCUACUAUGUGCCAGACACAGUCCUUAUUUUUCUGCUCCACACUUCAAAACACCCAUUUGGUUUUGAUUUUUCAUCCUUGAUAGGAAAAACACUUUCCUUUCACAAAGAUUCAGAUUCCCGGUUCUCAAAGAGAUUUCUGUGUAGCCCAUGUGGUUUAAAUAUCAGGACUUUUCUAAGAAUAUAUAUUUCAACUAUGGUCCAUAUGGAUACACACGCAUUCACACACACACACACACACACACACACACACACCAUCCCCAAACUGAACUUUAUAGCAGUGAGAUGAUGAAAGGGAAGUGAAAAUCUGGCCUCUACUAACCAACCAAAAGCCCAGUCAACUUUUUUCCCCAAAAAAACAAAAUUCUGGGCUUUGCAUCUAAGCUGUUUAAAAGCCACAUUGCCAAAGCGCCAGUUUUCCUCAUUUUAGGGAAACAAGAAAAGCAUAUGGCUGCAGUGACCUUCUCGAGCUGUUGAUGAGAGGUAGAGUCAGGGACAUGCGGUGGCUUCAAUAUGAUAAAAGCAACAACAUAAAGAGGGAUAAUGAAGCAGUGGGUGGGGGGGGUGGAAGAACAAGUGAAGUCAAUGUCAGUCAAUGGCAGGACUAAAAUUGUAGACAACGGACAAUGAAGGCUCACUCACUUCUACCGUUCUGUCCCAAUAUGAAACACCUGGCAAAUAUCUACCCAUCACUCAAGACUCCACCCCAAGUUUCCCUUCUCCCUCCUUUAUGCCCUCACCAGAUCCACUUCAUAUUCUAUCAAAGUAACUGUAGCAUUUUACGGAACGAUAUAUUUUUGGUUUGUCCUACUAGACUGUGGGGUCAUUGAGGACAGGAUCAUAUUUUAUGCCUCUUUGCAGUUCCAGCCAAUACGUAGUGAGGGUCCCAUAAAUGUCUUCCUUGGUUGCGUGAUUGAAUGAAUGAAUGAAUGAAUGAACGAAUGACGGAUUUAAUUCUUGGGAGUAUGGAUUUGGCUUUUCCAACUGCUAUGAUGCAAUCCUUAAGUGAUAAAAAGUGUCUCAGCCUCUGCCAAGGUUCACCCAUUUUCGCAUUUUUAACUUCUUCUCAGAUUCAAGAAGCUGUGAAUUCCGUAAUGUCACACACUGGCAUGAGAAUAUCGUGUAUUCUUGAAACAGAGUUAUGAAAAGAAAGAAGCUGGUCAGGAGACUAAAACAGGAAUUGUCCUUUUCAAGAUCCGGAACUCCAACAUUCCUUGGCUUCACGGAGAGAAGCACCUGCGAAAAUG
rnacentral:lncRNA from 1 species